rfam:Listeria monocytogenes EGD-e, complete genome
ACGUGUAUAAAAAUACGGUUUAUACACGUGGGAUUAUGGUUCUAUAUGAAAUAGGUUAUUUAUUAGAAGGGUUAAAUGGCUUAUUUUAUUUUUCAAUGUAUAAAAUUAUGUAUAUUGACACAAUUUGUGUUAUUUUGAACAUAAAUUUAAGUAAAUCAAUUCUUAAUGUAUUGAUUUUCGCCUAAAAUGGGUCGUUCAUGACAAGAAUCGGACAUUUCAUUACA